AGCAGUUAAUGAUAUUAUUUCAGAGUUAUAACUGACUUAGCAAAGUCACGUUAUUUAUUUAAGCGAGAUGAAAUUUGAUUUUAUUUUUACUCAGAUCGUGAAUUAUUUCCGACUCAGGAAGUUAAUUAAAUCUGCGGAUUUAAUUUAGAUAUCAGAACAACGAACGAAUUAAAUCUACGGAUUUAAUUUAGAUUCAUUUUAUAAUUUAUCGGUUUUAGUGAGAAAUCACAUGUCGAAAUACGAGAUUUAUUUAAAUAAACAGUAUCAAGCAUAUACGAGCACACGAUCCAUCUUACAGUUACAGAAUCACCGAGACAGAGAAAAUACAUCAAUAAUUCUCCUCUACAUUUUUUUUCCUUUCUUUUUCUUCUCUUUUUCUUUCCAUUAAUUUUGUUCCCCACUCCAUCAACUCCACUACCCUAUGCUCCCCACCAUCUCCACUACCUUUGCUCCCCAUCAACUCCAACACUUCACCCAUUCCUUCCAUUUCGCACCAGCAAUCACAAAGAGAAGGAAGACUUGGCUUAACUACUUUGCCAAGAUUUCAAGCUGCUCCAGUCCAGUAGUACCCCAACACUCGAAGCUAGAGUUUAUUGGGUGAAAAACCGUGCAUGAGGUCGAGCGCAAGAAUAAGAGCUCGUCAAGGAGUCACUAAUCUGUAGCAAAGCUUUGCUAUCAGGUUGAGCAGUAGACGAUGGUGAUGAAGUGACGAGUGGAAUCCUCUUUUGUCGCAAUAUUAUAUGCUAUGAAAAACUCUAGGGUUACAUGUCUUCAUACAUGUAAUCAGAACCUUAUUCCGCUGCGUACUCAGAAGUUUUAUGUUAUUUUGGCUAAGUCAGAGUUAUCUGAACUUAUUAGUUAUUUGAGUCUAUACGACUAAACCUCUGUUAUAUUAUAAAUAUUCCUUUUGUUAAAUGAUGAAAUGCGAUUCUUCCUUGUUUGAUUAUCCCCUUUCUACCCCGCUUCUAAUCUCCCUCCAUUAG